rnacentral:pre_miRNA from 1 species
AAUGGAAUUGUUGGAUCAUAUGGUAAAUCUAUUUAACAUUUUGAGGAACCAGCAGACUAUUUUCCAAAGUAACUGUACCAUUUUACAUUCCCACCAGCAGU